CAGUGGCGUGCAAAACCCUGCCUUUAGCUUUUGGAACAAACAACAUUCAUAUGUGUAGAGUGUUAUUUUUUACUACACGAGUAUAUGAUGGCAUAAACAUACGCGUCUAUAGUUCCUGAGACAUUCACUUGACGCGACUAACACAAAUAAUGACUUUUCAUCGAUACCAUGCAGUGUCAAGUGACAGAUGCCAUCAGAUAGAGACAACAUGAACAGUCAGAAAGACAGCUUCACCUGAUUGGCCAGCUCUGCACACAAGCCUAGAUUGACGACUGGCUCAAUCAGAAGUCCUGCCAGGUGUUUCAGGAUUUCAGAAUGACAUUAGCACUGACUUUGCUACUUGAAAAGGAACAAAGAGAACAGAGCGCAGGAGACCACAGAAGGCUUGAGACAUUGUGAAAUGGGCUGUCACAUAAGGUUCUCAUCCUUACAAGACAAAUUCUUGAACUGAUGGCAACAACUCCUUAAUGGCAUCAGUUUCACCCGCAUUAAUUACUCUCUGUAUCUGUGAGUAAUUCACUCAAAAUGCCUCUGUAAUAUGAUCUGUAAUAUAUAAUUUGGAAGUAUUGGGUAUAUUUAUACAAUCAAUAAAGUUAUUUUUUAUCUUU